rnacentral:lncRNA from 1 species
AGCCUGUGGUUGGACCUCCUGGUCCACCAGGCCCCCCAGGACUCCCUGGUCCACAAGGUCCUCCUGGUAUGUUGAAAAAUACAAUAUCUCUCUGGACAACUGCAGUACCAAAAAAUGUGAAUAUCUCAUCACUGUUUUUCAGGUGAAGGUAAACAAGGUCCACCAGGCCCCCAAGGCUCCCCUGGUCAGCCAGGUAAACAUGAAUAUUCUUCUAUAGAAACAAGGAAGAUAAAGAUGUCAGUAACAUGUUGGGUGACUGGAGCCCUUUCAAAUCCACUUAGGUUCAAAAAACUGGUUUGUGACUCUGUUGUGUCCUUGCAGGUGAGGGUGCACCAGGACCUAAAGGAGAUAAGGGAGACCCUGGUAGUUUUGUGCCCACAUCAGGUUAGCAAAAGAAACCUGAUUAUUAGGAGAUUCACAGUAAUUCAUGUCUAAUCACUGUUGGUUUUUGAACCACAAUCUGAUGAAUGCUUGCUUGAUGUGGCUCAGAAAGCUUCUUUGCUGGACCACCAGGACCCCCUGGGCCUGCAGGACCACAAGGUCCACCAGGUACAGGCAACGUUGCAUUGCUGUGGCAUAUGGCAUACUAAGUUGUUUACAGCAUUACAUUUAGCAGCACUCCAAAGUUGAUGAGACAAUUUUCUUCUUUCUAGGUGACACAGGACCACAAGGAUACCAAGGUGAUAAACCAGCUCAAAGGUUCUCAAAUGUUAGCUUUUCGAAAACAGUCAAUAACAACGACGAUGGUUUUCAUAGGUGAACCUGGACAGCCGGGUCUUCCAGGCCUUCAAGGAGAACCAGGUUUCCCAGGACCACCUGGACCUCAAGGGCCACCAGGAGAUGAUAGCUCAUAUGCUCCCGGGCCUCCAGGUCCACCAGGCCCACCUGGUCCGCCUGGAUCUGGAUCAUCUGAUGUGGGACAGUAUCUAACAGAGUACCUUCAAAGUGACGCUCUCAGACAGUACCUGGUAGGUCCUCCUGGGCCUCCUGGACCUCCAGGAGAACCGGGCUCUCCUGGGUCUUCAGAAGAAGGGAUGAUGGAUAAUGUUGCCAGUCGAGUUAUCAGCUACAUUCAGAGUAUGAACAGAACCAAGACACUGCCUUCCUUUUUUGUAAACAAGAUUAUUUAUAAAAAAAAAGAGAACUACAUGUUUAACAGCUGUGUGUUACCAUGUUUACCUUAUUAG